GCGGAGCGCGCGUUCCCGUCCCGCCCGCGGGCGCCGUGCGGAGGGCGGGAGCGGAGCGCGGGACGC